AUACGGAAGCCGGUGUGAGUCCGGCGCGGCCCCGCCACUGUAACGGGCAGUUUGUGAGCGGCUCAAUGCCACUGGGGUAACCCGGGAAGGCGAGCCGGUUCGCCCGGAGCCAGGAGACGU
rnacentral:ncRNA from 1 species